rnacentral:misc_RNA from 1 species
CGUUCAUGGUGGCGCCCAUAACGAAAUAAAAUACACGUAUUACGUAUUCGAUAGUAACGAAUCAUCAAUGCAUUAUGUUGCAAUCUCAUUAUCGGCAUAACGAAGUUUAUCAAGUUUUAUUAGGUGCCGAUCGAAGUUGUGCUUGUUACAGCUACGUUGUUGGUUGGGUUGAACUCGUUGGAGUCGAUGAAGUUGUACGGUUGAUCGAACCGGUGCUACGCGCGUAGUUUUGAUGAGAUGAAUAUCAUGGAUGAGACAUGGAGAUUGUUAUUUCCAAUAUGCAUCAAUGUGAUAAUGUCUGUGAUCGCGUUUUAUUCGACCGUGUAUUUAAUUCCCAAGAUAAUAUCCAUAUUUCUCAAAGCUAACCUCUGUGGCAUCGAUAUGAGCAAAAGGAGCAACGAAAAAGUGCCAGAGGCAAUAGGUGUUUUUACUGGAUGUAUAUUCCUCAUAACAAUGUUCCUGUUUAUUCCUGUACCAUUCACAGAUUACAUACUGAAGAAUGAAAAUUUUCCACAUGAUAAGUUUGUUGAAUUCUUGGCAGCAUUGUUGUCCAUAUGUUGCAUGCUACUGUUGGGUUUUGCUGAUGAUGUUCUGGAUCUUCGUUGGCGGCACAAGUUACUUUUACCCACUGUAGCAUCCUUGCCAUUGCUAAUGGUUUAUUAUGUUAACUUUAAUUCCACGAUAAUCAUCAUACCAAAACCACUGAGACAAUGCUUUGGUUUUUCAUUGGAUUUAUGGGUUUUUUACUACCUAUACAUGGGAAUGUUGGCAGUAUUUUGUACGAACGCCAUAAAUAUAUUAGCUGGGAUAAAUGGCCUGGAAGUUGGACAAAGCUUAAUAAUUGCUACCAGUAUUCUCAUCUUUAAUAUUAUAGAAUUAUUUGGUAGUCAAUGGAAAGCACAUCAGUUUUCAAUAUAUUUUAUGCUGCCAUACAUAGCUACUUCCCUUGCAUUGUUCAAGUACAAUUGGUACCCAUCGCAGGUUUUCGUAGGUGAUACAUUUUGCUAUCUAUCGGGAAUGACUUUUGCUGUCGUCGGUAUUAUAGGCCACUUUAGUAAAACUACUUUGCUUUUUUUCAUUCCGCAAAUCGUAAAUUUUCUCUACAGUGUGCCGCAACUUUUUCGUUUUGUACCGUGCCCUAGACACAGAUUACCAAAGUAUAACAAAGAAACAGAUCUAAUGGAACCUAGUGUAAUUAUAUUCUACAAAUCAGAACUUAACGUGAUUGGUUGUUGAUGUGGAUACUAAAAACAUUCAGGUUGAUAAAGUGGCAAGAAGAUCAAAAUGGCAUUAUAACUUGCAACAACUUAACUUUGAUUAAUUUUGUACUCAUCAAUGUUGGUCCAUUGAGAGAACCAACACUCACAUCAAUUCUACUAACAAUACAGAUUGUUAGCAGUGCAUU